rnacentral:rRNA from 1 species
GACGAACGCUGGCGGCGUGCUUAACACAUGCAAGUCGAACGGAAAGGCCCUGCUUUUGUGGGGUGCUCGAGUGGCGAACGGGUGAGUAACACGUGAGUAACCUGCCCUUGACUUUGGGAUAACUUCAGGAAACUGGGGCUAAUACCGGAUAGGAGCUCCUGCUGCAUGGUGGGGGUUGGAAAGUUUCGGCGGUUGGGGAUGGACUCGCGGCUUAUCAGCUUGUUGGUGGGGUAGUGGCUUACCAAGGCUUUGACGGGUAGCCGGCCUGAGAGGGUGACCGGCCACAUUGGGACUGAGAUACGGCCCAGACUCCUACGGGAGGCAGCAGUGGGGAGUAUUGCACAAUGGGCGGAAGCCUGAUGCAGCAACGCCGCGUGCGGGAUGACGGCCUUCGGGGUGUAAACCGCUUUCGCCUGUGACGAAGCGUGAGUGACGGUAAUGGGUAAAGAAGCACCGGCUAACUACGUG